AGUGAACGCUGGCGGUAGGCCUAACACAUGCAAGUCGAACGGCAGCACAGUAAGAGCUUGCUCUUACGGGUGGCGAGUGGCGGACGAGUGAGGAAUACAUCGGAAUCUACUUUUUCGUGGGGGAUAACGUAGGGAAACUUACGCUAAUACCGCAUACGACCUACGGGUGAAAGCAGGGGAUCUUCGGACCUUGCGCGAUUGAAUGAGCCGAUGUCGGAUUAGCUAGUUGGCGGGGUAAAGGCCCACCAAGGCGACGAUCCGUAGCUGGUCUGAGAGGAUGAUCGGCCAAACUGGAACUAGGACACGGUCCAGAAUCCUACGGGAGGCAGCAGUGGGGAAUAUUGGACAAUGGGCGCAAGCCUGAUCCAGCCAUACCGCGUGGGUGAAGAAGGCCUUCGGGUUGUAAAGCCCUUUUGUUGGGAAAGAAAAGCAGCAGGUUAAUACCCCGCUGUUCUGACGGUACCCAAAGAAUAAGCACCGGCUAACUUCGU
rnacentral:rRNA from 1 species